rnacentral:lncRNA from 1 species
CAAUAAAAUUGAGAAUGGAAAUGGGGAAUGUGCCAAAGAGACAACAACCCGACCAUAGAAAAAAACAAUAGCAGAAGGUCACCAACAGGUCUUCAAUGUAGCGAGAAAUUCCCGCACCCGGAGGCGUCCUUCAACUGGCCCCUAAACAAAUAUAUACUAGUUCAGUGAUAAUGAACGCCAUACUAAUUUCCAAAUUGUACACAAGA